rnacentral:antisense_RNA from 1 species
GUACGAGAUGGCGCCCCAACCGGCGGUGAG